rnacentral:rRNA from 1 species
AUUGAACGCUGGCGGUAGGCCUAACACAUGCAAGUCGAGCGGCAGAACGGUGCUUGCUUCUGGUUUCAGCGGCCGAGGGGUGAGCAGUGCCUGGAAACCUCCGUGGUUGCGUUUGCUUACGUGCGAACACGGGCGAAAUUACCGCAUUCGUCCUGAGGACCUACGUGUGAAAUCUUCGGAUCUUCCGCUCUCACACGAGCCGAGGUCGGUUUAGCUAGUUGGCGGGGUAAAGGCCUACCAAGGCGACGAUCCGUAACUGGUCUGAGAGGAUGAUCAGUCACACUGGAACUGAGACACGGUCCAGACUCCUACGGGAGGCAGCAGUGGGGAAUAUUGGACAAAGGGCGAAAGCCUGAUCCAGCCAUGCCGCGUGUGUGAAGAAGGUCUUCGGAUUGUAAAGCAUUUUAAGUGGGGAAGAAGAGCAGUAAGUUAAUACCUUGCUGUUUUGACGUUACCAACAGAAUAAGCACCGGCUAACUUCGUG